GACGAACGCUGGCGGCGUGCUUAACACAUGCAAGUCGAACGGGCCCGCCCCUGUUUUUGGGGGUGGGUUGAGUGGCGAACGGGUGAGUAUCACGUGAGUAACCUGCCCCCUGCUCCUGGAUAACUGCUUGAAAGGGCGGCUAAUACGGGGUGUGCCGGCUGGUCCGCAUGGGCCUGGUCGGGAUAGUUUCAUCUUCGGGUGUUUCGGUGGGGGAUGGGCUCGCGGCCUAUCAGCUUGUUGGUGGGGUGAUGGCCCACCAAGGCGGUGACGGGUAGCCGGCGUGAGGGGGUGGGCGGCCAGACUGGGACUGAGACACGGCCCCGACUCGGGCGGGAGGCAGCAGUGGGGGGUAUUGCACAAUGGGCGGAAGCCUGAUGCAGCGACGUCGCGUGAGGGAUGGAGGCCUUCGGGUUGUGAACCUCUUUCUCCGGUGGUGAAGGCCCUGUCCGUUGCGGCGGGGUUGACGGUAGCCGGGUAUGAAGCGCCGGCUAACUACGUG
rnacentral:rRNA from 1 species